GUCAACUGUUUAGACAGCUACCUUGUGGGUGAGGAACUGUCCCUGGUUAUGGAGUACAUGGAUGGAGGCACUCUGAGCAAUGUCAUCAGCCAGACCUACCUGUCGGAAGAUGAGAUGGCAGCCAUCAGUCGGGAGUGCCUGCAAGGAUUGGAUUUUCCUCAUUCAAACCAUGUCAUCCACCAAGAUGUGAAGAGCAGCAAC